rnacentral:rRNA from 1 species
UACGUAGGGUCCGAGCGUUGUCCGGAAUUACUGGGCGUAAAGAGCUCGUAGGUGGUUUGUCGCGUUGUUCGUGAAAACUCACAGCUCAACUGUGGGCGUGCGGGCGAUACGGGCAGACUAGAGUACUGCAGGGGAGACUGGAAUUCCUGGUGUAGCGGUGGAAUGCGCAGAUAUCAGGAGGAACACCGGUGGCGAAGGCGGCACUCUGGGCCGAUACUGACACUGAGGAGCGAAAGCGUGGGGAGCGAACAGG